GAUGAACGCUAGCUACAGGCUUAACACAUGCAAGUCGAGGGGAAACGACAUCGAAAGCUUGCUUUUGAUGGGCGUCGACCGGCGCACGGGUGAGUAACGCGUAUCCAACCUGCCCACCACUUGGGGAUAACCUUGCGAAAGUAAGACUAAUACCCGAUGAUAUCUCUAGACGACAUCUGAAAGGGAUUAAAGAUUUAUCGGUGAUGGAUGGGGAUGCGUCUGAUUAGCUUGUUGGCGGGGUAACGGCCCACCAAGGCAACGAUCAGUAGGGGUUCUGAGAGGAAGGUCCCCCACAUUGGAACUGAGACACGGUCCAAACUCCUACGGGAGGCAGCAGUGAGGAAUAUUGGUCAAUGGGCGAGAGCCUGAACCAGCCAAGUAGCGUGCAGGACGACGGCCCUAUGGGUUGUAAACUGCUUUUAUAAGGGAAUAAAGUGAGUCUCGUGAGACUUUUUGCAUGUACCUUACGAAUAAGGACCGGCUAAUUCCGUG
rnacentral:rRNA from 1 species